AAGCAGUUAAGAAGAUUCUUCGGAUGAUUCUUAACUGACUGAGCGGCGGACGGGUGAGUAACGCGUGGGUGACCUGCCCCAUACCGGGGGAUAACAGCUGGAAACGGCUGCUAAUACCGCAUAAGCGCACAGAGCUGCAUGGCUCGGUGUGAAAAACUCCGGUGGUAUGGGAUGGGCCCGCGUCUGAUUAGGCAGUUGGCGGGGUAACGGCCCACCAAACCGACGAUCAGUAGCCGGCCUGAGAGGGCGACCGGCCACAUUGGGACUGAGACACGGCCCAAACUCCUACGGGAGGCAGCAGUGGGGAAUAUUGCACAAUGGGGGAAACCCUGAUGCAGCGACGCCGCGUGAGCGAAGAAGUAUUUCGGUAUGUAAAGCUCUAUCAGCAGGGAAGAUAAUGACGGUACCUGACUAAGAAGCCCCGGCUAACUACGUGCCAGCAGCCGCGGUAAUACGUAGGGGGCAAGCGUUAUCCGGAUUUACUGGGUGUAAAGGGAGCGUAGACGGCAAGGCAAGUCUGAUGUGAAAACCCAGGGCUUAACCCUGGGACUGCAUUGGAAACUGUCUGGCUCGAGUGCCGGAGAGGUAAGCGGAAUUCCUAGUGUAGCGGUGAAAUGCGUAGAUAUUAGGAAGAACACCAGUGGCGAAGGCGGCUUACUGGACGGUAACUGACGUUGAGGCUCGAAAGCGUGGGGAGCAAACAGGAU
rnacentral:rRNA from 1 species